GUGGAGGCCUGAAGGUGGUGCUGGGUGGCACCAUUAAACACUCUUCCGUCUCAUUUGCUGAGGCAAGGUCUGACAGACCAAUCAGAGCUUCCCAUAAGGCUCAUCUCUCUAGGCGGCUUGCUCUGAUGAAUCCCGUCUCUGCCUUUUGAGGCUGGGAGUAGCUGUGGGCUACAACAUCCAGCCAGCAUUUCCUGGAUUCUGGGAAUCUGAACUCUGGGCCUCAUCGUACAUAACAAACGCCUUAACGGCUCAUUCAUCUCUUUGGCUUCAACUGCCAGCCAAGUCAGUUUUCUCAUCUUACCGAAAUAUCUGCAUGCUGAUCGCUCUGGAGCAUUUAUUAAAAAAUUCAGAGCCCCGAGUCUCUGGAGAGAGAGCCAAGGAAACUACAUUGUAAACAAACGAGUGAGUUUGAAGCCCAUAGUGCUAAGGUGGUACAUGGCUCAGACUUCUUUAGGACAUGCGCUCCUGGAUCAGGAGGUGUAAGCUAACUGAGUCAGCACAGGACUUUUGUCCUAGAAGAUGAUGAAAUGCUUUCCCGACUGAGUACAAAACUGGGACUGCAGCCACUUGGCCUGCUUUGAAAAGGGAAUACCAGGGAAGUAUAUUCAUUUCAUCCUUUCUAAACAACGGAUCCAGGAGACAGGUCUUAGAGUGGGAGACUGGAGUCACAGCCUGAGAAGUUGACCGUGGGAAGCAGGUGUUGCAUGUAGAGUGGCCCUACAGAUGUGUCAAGAACGGGGACCAACUUGAUCUCGCUCACCACAUGAUCAUGUCUCUUGAUUGUGACCAAACGUUCCUUUGUGUGGGGACUGUCAAAUCCCAUGGCUGUUGAAAGGAAAACAAACAUCUUCUGAUGGUCACUGCCCUUCAAAAUCUCCAGGUGAGCAGGAGGAUAAAAAACUCAAGGCUUGGACAAAGGAAAGCAAUAACAGGAAAGUUUUUGAGCCCAGCUUUAUGGCUAGAACAUGAUCUUUCUUGGUAAAUGUUCCACGUUCACAAGAAAACAAGAUUGCCUGAGCUCGUAUGCCUCUAUGCUUCAAGGCUGACUCUUCACCAGUCAGGACUCAGGAGCUGAGGAUGUGCGGGGAUACGGAUGCCUUUGGAUCCUGUUGCCUUUGGAGCAUAAUAAAACUUCUCAGGAUGC
rnacentral:lncRNA from 1 species